rnacentral:tRNA from 1 species
GGGAAGGUGGCUGAGUGGCCGAAAGCGCUCGCCUGCUAAGCGAGUAAGGGGUGUUAAGCUCCUUCCCGGGUUCGAAUCCCGGCCUUCCCGCCA